UCGUAGGUACUGUAUUUUAUCAUGGAUC
rnacentral:sRNA from 1 species